AAAAAUACCCGUGCGUUGCAACGGGUGAAGUCUAUUUUAAUCUUAUUAUUGUUAUAUGGUUUAGUUAAGAUGAAAUUCACUGUGAGAAUUCGCUUGGAUAUAUAUAUAUAUAUAUAUAUAUAUAUAUAUAUAUAUAUAUAUAUAUAUAUAUAUAUAUAUAUAUAUAUAUAUAUAUA
rnacentral:snRNA from 1 species